ensembl:lncRNA
CUUGAGCCAUUGAAGAAAAUAUAAUCUGAUCAAACAUUAUUCAGCUUUAAAUAUUGUUCAGCUUUAAAGUUACUGUGCAACUGUGUAAUAAAAAUAUGCGCUCACGACUUUGGCCUUGAGAGCGAUAAGAAGCGAUCGCCUCAUUCUGCAGGUGCAAGAUAUCUGCAAGCGAAGAGACUAGAACACCCAAGGCCGCUUUCCUUUUAUGGAGUUGUUUUUCUGCUAAUGCAGCACUGUCCUCACAACCCCCUCCUGUAAGUUUUAGAGAAUAUAUACCCAUCCUCACAGCAAAUAUUAGGAAUCUCCUGAUGUGAGCUGUGUUGAGAGGUUGUCUCUGUCUCAAUAAAAGUUCACUGAUUCCCCCAUCUGCUGCAGGUGUCCGGUUGUCUUCAUUCUCCGCCAGCCUGGAUCCGCUCCAGGGCAACUGGAACGGAUGGGAGGAAAUCGGCCGUGGUCUGAGUGAACGGAGUUUGGACAAAAGCUGUGUGCACACAAAAACAAGGUUGUUGCUCUUUAACUCCUAGAACACGCCCUUGGCGAGGUGGGGGGAACUGGACCACCUUUCUGUGCCCCAUCAUCCUCUAUUAGACGACAUCCAAGCUAAGUAAACAUGUCUUGGCCCUUUCCCCCUGAAAUGACAGGCAGGCAAAGAUGUUGCGUCUUUGUUUGCUUCCUGGCCCUGGGUCUCAUUCCCAUUGGCAUAAUCCUGAUCUGUGAAGGGCCCCCGACACUUCUGACACCUUCAAGUUCAAAAGCUUCGCCCCCUUCUGACAGUCCCAAUCUGACAAAUGUAGCCCCUAGGGUCUUGCCCACCACUUCCUCUCCAGUUUUGCCCACGCCCGAUCCAUUUAGAAAGAAACGAGACACGGUUACCUCCUCGCCAACGGAUGAUGAAAACUCUGAUCGACAGCUGUUACUGCUUUCAUCGGGAACCGAGACUGCUUGCAGCCGACCCCUGGGCAGGGUGGUGCCUGGACUCUUUUCUCCUCAUCUGCAAUGACAGAUAAAGACAAAUGAUAAGACCCGAGGAGUUUUUCGAGCCAGGCUUCGACACGUCUCUGUGUUCCUUUGAAUGUUACUUAUUUUUGUAUGUUGACCCAUUUAAGAUGGGUCAAAAGGGGGAUUUGAAGAAAAUAUAAUCUGAUCAAACAUUAUUCAGCUUUAAAUAUUGUUCAGCUUUAAAGUUACUGUGCAACUGUGUAAUAAAAAUAUGCGCUCACGACUUUGGCCUUGAGAGCGAUAAGAAGCGAUCGCCUCAUUCUGCAGGUGCAAGAUAUCUGCAAGCGAAGAGACUAGAACACCCAAGGCCGCUUUCCUUUUAUGGAGUUGUUUUUCUGCUAAUGCAGCACUGUCCUCACAACCCCCUCCUGUAAGUUUUAGAGAAUAUAUACCCAUCCUCACAGCAAAUAUUAGGAAUCUCCUGAUGUGAGCUGUGUUGAGAGGUUGUCUCUGUCUCAAUAAAAGUUCACUGAUUCCCCC